GUAACCUUUCCUGGUAGGCUCCCUGGAUGCCUUAUCUCAGGAAGACACAAGCAACAACUUCUGUGUUUAAUAGACACCACCACACGAUUCUAGGUAAAGCUGGAGGUGGACGAUGAGCAACAGUGCAAGACCUACGUGGAGCCCCUUCUUGGCAGAUCCUGUCAAUGCAGUCAGGUAGGAAAUGGACUAGCAGCAGAGCUGAUGAGACCUGCCACUGGACGCUUUCUGACCUUCCUUUCGUGGGUCAGGCCUGACCCUUGGGAUGGGGUGAGGCCGAGGCUGGCCGACAGGGUGCCCCACCUGUUGGGAGCAGUGUCAGGAGUCAAAACCAGGUACUCUUCAUCCAUAUC